ACUACGUGUGGCAGCAGUGAGGAAUAUUGGUCAAUGGACGCAAGUCUGAACCAGCCAUGCCGCGUGCAGGAAGACGGCUCUAUGAGUUGUAAACUGCUUUUGUACGAGGGUAAACGCAGAUACGCGUACCUGUCUGAAAGUAUCGUACGAAUAAGGAUCGGCUAACUCCGUGCCAGCAGCCGCGGUAAUAUGGAGGAUUCAAGCGUUAUCCGGAUUUAUUGGGUUUAAAGGGUGCGUAGGCGGUUGGAUAAGUAAGCGGUGAAAGCCCGAGGCUCAACUGCGGAAUUGCCGUUGAUACUGGUCGGCUAGAGAGUAGUUGCGGUAGGCGGAAUGUAUGGUGUAGCGGUGAAAUGCUUAGAGAGCAUACAGAACACCGAUUGCGAAGGCAGCUUACCGAGCUACUUCUGACGUUGAGGCACGAAAGCGUGGGGAGCAAACAGGACUAGAUACCCCUGUAGUC
rnacentral:rRNA from 1 species